ACCGGCGCACGGGUGCGUAACACGUGUACAAUCUACCUUUUGCUAAGGGAUAGCCCGAAGAAAUUUGGAUUAAUACCUUAUAGUAUUGUUUGGUGGCAUCACUGAAUAAUUAAAGCUCUGGUGGCAAAAGAUGAGUACGCGUCCCAUUAGCUAGUUGGUGUGGUAACGGCAUACCAAGGCUACGAUGGGUAGGGGUCCUGAGAGGGAGGUCCCCCACACUGGUACUGAGACACGGACCAGACUCCUACGGGAGGCAGCAGUGAGGAAUAUUGGACAAUGGUCGGAAGACUGAUCCAGCCAUGCCGCGUGCAGGAUGACGGCCUUAUGGGUUGUAAACUGCUUUUAUACAGGAAGAAUAAGGUCUACGAGUAGAUUGAUGACGGUACUGUAUGAAUAAGCAUCGGCUAACUCCGUGCCAGCAGCCGCGGUAAUACGGAGGAUGCGAGCGUUAUCCGGAAUCAUUGGGUUUAAAGGGUCCGUAGGCGGGCUUAUAAGUCAGAGGUGAAAGCACUGAGCUCAACUGAGUAACUGCCUUUGAAACUGUAGGUCUUGAAUGUUUGUGAAGUAGCUGGAAUGUGUAGUGUAGCGGUGAAAUGCAUAGAUAUUACACAGAACACCGAUUGCGAAGGCAUGUUACUAACAAAUUAUUGACGC
rnacentral:rRNA from 1 species